CUCUCCAGCCCCAGCCCCAGCCCCAACCCUCUCUUCAGCCUCUGCCGCAGCCCAAGCCUAAACCUCCUCCCAUCCCCAGCCACCUAGCCCAGCAGAAAGGACCCCUACAGGCCAUUCCUCCAGCCAUCAAGCCCCACAGCCCCCAGUCCUCCCCCUCAACACCUCACACACACAGACCUGACCCCCCCAACAGACCCCCACCCCCCUGCCCUCUCUCCAAACCCCAAAUAUCAUCAGAUGUGUUACAGAGAGGAAAGUCCAAUCUGGCGCCACCUGGUGGACAGAAGAAACCCAGCAGAUCCCAAAACAUGAUCUCAGGGAGGAGAUGAGGACCAACACUGGAACCCUGAGCUCAGUGAGAUUACUGGACAUCUAACUGGGUAUCUCUUCUCUCUCUGUGAGAUGGAUGUUUUUCCACCUGUGUCCAAAGAAGACCAUCAGCCUUUAUGAAGAACAUGACACUGUGGCAAAGGAGAGAGGAGGGCCACAGCUGGACACACAGGGUCUCAGUCCAAAAUGGCAACCUAAAUGUACUACACUAUAUAGGGAAUAUGGUUCCAUUUCAGACCUGUCCAGGGAAGCCUCCUCUGUUGGCCCAUCUCAGUGUUUUUAUUUCAUUCCAACAACAAAGACAAAGGAGUUGCCUGAUGAAGAAACAUCUCUGGCUACUAGGCUAGAUGCCAGGCUAUGUCUUGCCUUACCUCUUGAAACCAGGUCUCCUGUAUACUUGUAAUAUUUAAGACUGGACUUUAUCGACUCAUUUAGUUCUUGUGGAUGCUACCUUAUACCAUGGGUUAACAGUAUCAUAUGCUUGUUUCAGGUGUAUUUAUUUGCAAAGCUUCAGAGCAAAGAAACUGGUGUUUAAAGUCAAUGCACUGUAUAUGGUUUCUACAGGAGCAUGAGUCUGAAGCGAACGUCUUAUAUUACGACAACGCCACGCACAGAAUGAUGCUUAAUGCUUCUAGUAUGUGAAUAAACGAUAGGCUGGCCUAAGACGAGGGACAUCUCAAAUGUUGCAGUAACUAUUAGAAAAGUAUAUAUUGUUUUGGUAAGACUUUGUGGUUUUCUUUAAUGUUUUGUAUAUUGUACUGUUCUUGUUGUGUUGGGUGCUAAAUUCAGGUCUUCUGACUGACUGAAUGAAUGUAUAUUUGUACACCUUGAAGGUUAAUUGUUCCUGUAUAACUACCUACAAGUAUGUUAUCUUUUGAAAUGUGAUGCAUAGGACAACAGAAUCAACCCAGUUAUAGUCAAGCCCCUAAAAUCUAUGUCUAUAAAAUAAUCUGAUUUUCUUUUGAUUUAUUGUUGAAAUUCACCAUCUACCAUCGGACCUAUGCAAACAGUGGUGCCUUCAGUUUGAUUUGAAAUAAACUGUUUCAAAACAG